ACUCCUACGGGAGGCAGCAGUGGGGAAUCUUGGACAAUGGGCGCAAGCCUGAUCCAGCCAUGCCGCGUGAGUGAUGAAGGCCUUAGGGUCGUAAAGCUCUUUCGCCAGGGAUGAUAAUGACAGUACCUGGUAAAGAAACCCCGGCUAACUCCGUGCCAGCAGCCGCGGUAAUACGGAGGGGUUAGCGUUGUUCGGAAUUACUGGGGCGUAAAGCGCGCGUAGGCGGGUUGUUAAGUUAGAGGUGAAAUCCCGGGGGCUCAACCCCGGAACUGCCUUUAAUACUGGCAACCUAGAGUUCGAGAGAGGUGAGUGGAAUUCCGAGUGUAGAGGUGAAAUUCGUAGAUAUUCGGAGGAACACCAGUGGCGAAGGCGGCUCACUGGCUCGAUACUGACGCUGAGGUGCGAAAGUGUGGGGAGCAAACAGGAUUAGAUACCCUGGUAGGAUAGCG
rnacentral:rRNA from 1 species